CAGUCGCCGCGGUAAUACGAAGGGUGCAAGCGUUAAUCGGAAUUACUGGGCGUAAAGCGUGCGUGGGCGGUUUGUUAAGUCUGUUGUGAAAUCCCCGGGCUCAACCUGGGAAUGGCAAUGGAUACUGGCAAGCUAGAGUGUGUCAGAGGAUGGUGGAAUUCCCGGUGUAGCGGUGAAAUGCGUAGAGAUCGGGAGGAACAUCAGUGGCGAAGGCGGCCAUCUGGGACAACACUGACGCUGAGGCACGAAAGCGUGGGGAGCAAACAGGAUUAGAUACCCCAGUAGUCCCUGUCUCUUAUAC
rnacentral:rRNA from 1 species